rnacentral:lncRNA from 1 species
GAGUGAUCAGGCUGUACACAGUGGUAGUCAGUCUCAGGACCUCAACUGAAAGCACAGCUAGAAGGGCGACUUUCACAGGGUCGGUUAACAAAAAGAUUCUAGAGCCAUUAUCGCACUCCAUGGGUCUUUUUGUUGCUGGUGCUUAUGGCCUUCCCAUCAUGUGUUCCCUGUCGAUGUGCACUUUCUGGUAUGGAUAGACACAGGACACCUCUGUAUGACCUCCCUAUUGAGCAAAAGAUGUAUGGAGAAUCAAAAAUUGAACACAGUAUGACAUACAUUGGCCUUAUAUUGUUAAAGCCAUGGAGAACCAUAAGGAUGAGCUUACCACCAUUUCUGUACUGGUUGGAACUUUCAGUGAGUCAAAAGAAGAGGAAUACAGGAAACUC